UACGUAGGGGGCGAGCGUUGUCCGGAGUUACUGGGCGUAAGACGCACGCAGGCGGUCUGUGAAGUUUGGAGUGACAGUUGGUGGCUCAACCACCAAAGUGCUUUGAAAACUGACAGACUUGAGGGCUUCAGAGGGACACGGAAUUCCGGGUGGAGUGGUGAAAUGCGCAGAUAUCAGGAGGAACACCGAUGGCGAAGGCAGGUCUCUGGGCAUUAACUGACGCUGAGGAGCGAAAAGCAUGGGGAGCGAACAGG
rnacentral:rRNA from 1 species